rnacentral:snRNA from 1 species
AUACUCACCUGGCGGGGAGACACCACGAUCACGAAGGUGGUUUUCCCAGGGUGAGGCAUAUCCAUUGCACUCCAGGUACGCUGACCCCUGUGAUUUCCCCAAAUCCAGGAAACUUGACUGCACAAUUUGUGUUAGGGGGGUACUAUGUUCGUGCUAUCCCUUG